CGACUCGUCACUCUCUCAUGGUUCAGCGUUUAGAUUGAUUAAAGAUGUGUUGCGGGAGAAUAUGCAUGCUGUGCACUUGCUUGAUUCUAGUGGUGGUGGCGAUUGGGUUGUUGUUCGGUUUCGGGGUUUUCAAGCACGGCUUUCACAAGCUCCAAGAUACCUUCCAUGAAGAUAUUUGUGACCCUAAAUCCUCUUUUUGUGGAAGACCUUUUCUGGGCUAUGCAGCUCCUCCUCCUUUCUAGAUUCUUCUUUUUAAUUUCGUGCUGUGGUUGUGAAUAAUUGGGGGAUUUGUUUCUUUCUUCCUUAUUUGUUUGUUCAUAUUGUUGUAUGAUUUGAUAUAAUCAAGAUGCAGUCUUUAUGAACUUCCUUUUUUCAA